GGGGAAUUUUGGACAAUGGGCGCAAGCCUGAUCCAGCCAUGCCGCGUGCGGGAAGAAGGCCUUCGGGUUGUAAACCGCUUUUGUCAGGGGAAGAAAUCUUCUGAGUUAAUACCUCGGGAGGAUGACGGUACCUGAAGAAUAAGCACCGGCUAACUACGUGCCAGCAGCCGCGGUAAUACGUAGGGUGCAAGCGUUAAUCGGAAUUACUGGGCGUAAAGCGUGCGCAAGGCGGUUUUGUAAGACAGAGGUGAAAUCCCGGGCUCAACCUGGGAACUGCCUUUGUGACUGCAAGGCUUGAGUGCGGCANAGGGGGGAUGGAAUUCCGCGUGUAGCAGUGGAAACGCGUAGAUAUGCGGAGGAACACCGA
rnacentral:rRNA from 1 species